CGAGGAGCUCCUUCCGUGCCCGGCCUUGGUGGCUGCAGCCCUGACACCUCAUCACUGCAGGGUUGGGGACACUGCUGAGGGCAGUGUCCUUGCUACCCUUUAUUCCCUUCCUUUUCUGUUGCUGGAGUGGCUGCAGGAGAAGAAGGGGGAGGCGGGGGAGCCGAGAUCCCUGGGUCCUCGGGGUUCCUGCGGCCCCAGCAGUGUGCGUGAUGGAGGGGCAUCUGCACCAGAGGACAAGAGUCACCCAGCCUACCCUGAGGUGCUGUGGCUUCUCCCGGAGGAGCCCACUGCUGGCGACUCCAGAAGCCCUGUGACUCGAGGCCCUGGUCUGGAGAAUGUUCUGUGGACAAGCGCAGAGGCCAUAGUCCAGGAGAGAGGCUGGGAAUGAUGUGUGGACACGUGUUGGUUAUCCUGGAAGGGUCCACUGGAGCGGAGACCUAGCAGUCCACCGGUGUGAGGAUGGCAUCCUGUCUGCUUAUCUCCUCCCUUUGACUUGGCUUGGGAAUCUCCCCACAGCAUGAUGGUGACUCUGAGACCAGAGGAGGGAGGAGCUGCCUGGG
rnacentral:lncRNA from 1 species